ACUCCUACGGGAGGCAGCAGUGGGGAAUCUUGCGCAAUGGGCGAAAGCCUGACGCAGCAACGCCGCGUGAGUGAUGAAGGCCUUCGGGUCGUAAAGCUCUGUCAGGAGGGAAGAAUAAAUGACGGUACCUCCAAAGGAAGCACCGGCUAACUCCGUGCCAGCAGCCGCGGUAAUACGGAGGGUGCAAACGUUGCUCGGAAUCAUUGGGCGUAAAGCGCGCGUAGGCGGCCUAGUAAGUCUGAUGUGAAAGCCCAGGGCUCAACCCUGGAAAGCCAUUGGAAACUACUCGGCUUGAGAGCAGGAGGGGCAGGUGGAAUUCCUGGUGUAGGAGUGAAAUCCGUAGAGAUCAGGAGGAACACCGGUGGCGAAGGCGACCUGCUGGACUGUAUCUGACGCUGAGGCGCGAAAGCGUGGGGGAGCAAACAGGAUUAGAUACCCUGGUAGGUAC
rnacentral:rRNA from 1 species